AGUGAACGCUGGCGGUAGGCCUAACACAUGCAAGUCGAACGGCAGCACAGUAAGAGCUUGCUCUUACGGGUGGCGAGUGGCGGACGGGUGAGGAAUACAUCGGAAUCUACUUUUUCGUGGGGGAUAACGUAGGGAAACUUACGCUAAUACCGCAUACGACCUACGGGUGAAAGCAGGGGAUCUUCGGACCUUGCGCGAUUGAAUGAGCCGAUGUCGGAUUAGCUAGUUGGCGGGGUAAAGGCCCACCAAGGCGACGAUCCGUAGCUGGUCUGAGAGGAUGAUCGGCCACACUGGAACUGAGCCACGGUCCAGACUCCUACGGGAGGCAGCAGUGGGGAAUAUUGGACAGUGGGCGCAAGCCUGAUCCAGCCAUACCGCGUGGGUGAAGAAGGCCUUCGGGUUGUAAAGCCCUUUUGUUGGGAAAGAAAAGCAGCAGGUUAAUACCCCGCUGUUCUGACGGUACCCAAAGAAUAAGCACCGGCUAACUUCGUG
rnacentral:rRNA from 1 species